UAUCUCUCCGUACGGGGAAGGAUGAGAAGCUUCGACUAAGGUUCGAUUCGAGCGCAGCGAGAAAGCGUUGCCGUAGGCAACGACCCGAAGG
rnacentral:sRNA from 2 species